rnacentral:lncRNA from 1 species
GUGCCAUAGGGAGCUGAUACAAAGCAAUGUAGCGCUCCCUCUGAGCAUUAUCUCUAUAGGCCACGUGCAUGUCAUCAAAAUCCUGCAUCCUGUAAAAGUUAAGAAAGUGAUCUUGAAAAUACAAACCAUUCAAAUCUUAGUCUCAAUGCAAAAUACGAUGAAAUAAAAUAAAAAUAAAAAAUAAAAGUAAAUAAAUGCGAAAAAG